GACAGAGGAUGCAAGCGUUAUCCGGAAUGAUUGGGCGUAAAGCGUCUGUAGGUGGCUUUUUAAGUCCGCCGUCAAAUCCCAGGGCUCAACCCGUGACAGGCGGUGGAAACUACCAAGCUGGAGUACGGUAGGGGCAGAGGGAAUUUCCGGUGGAGCGGUGAAAUGCGUAGAGAUCGGAAAGAACACCAACGGCGACAGCACUCUGCUGGCCGACACUGACACUGAGAGACGAAAGCUAGGGGAGCGAAUGGGAU
rnacentral:rRNA from 1 species